rnacentral:rRNA from 1 species
GACGAACGCUGGCGGCGUGCCUAAUACAUGCAAGUCGGACGCAGUUGCGAACGGGUGAGUAACACGUAGGUAACUUCCUAUUAGAGGGGGUUAAAUCUUGGUAACGAUAGCUAAUACCGAAUACUAGUCGACGUACCUGCGUUGUAUUAGCUGGUAGGUAGGGUAAUGGCCUACCUAGGCGACGAUACAUAGCCGACCUGACGGGGUGAGCGGCCAACCGGGGACUGUGGCACGGCGCAGACGCCUACGGGAGGAAGCGGGAGGGAAUCUUCGGCAAUGGGGGGAACCCUGACCGAGCGACGCCGCGUGGCUGAAUAAGGGUUUCGGGUCGUAAGGUUCUGUUGUUAGAGAGGCGGUAGCUAGCCAGAAAGCCACGGCUAACUACGUGCCAGCAGCCGCGGUAAUUC